GACCCUUUGUUUUUUUCUAAAACAGAAUUCCCCCCUUUUUUGCUUUGCUAGGGUUUCCCCCUAGCGCCACACUUUAGGGUCAUCAGUGCCUCGCACCUCCACCUCUGCUGACAUCUUAUGGUGCGAAAUCAGCGCACAACGUGGAGAGGCGUGCAACGUGCGGUGCCUGGAGUCUGUCUUGGUUGCGGCGGCUGAAGGUGUUUGGCUGCUAGGGUUUCAAAGAAUGUUUAGGUUGCGGGCUUGGGUAUUGGGCUAGGUUUUUUAAUUUGGGCCUAGGUCUGUAGUUUUGUUUUAGGUAUUUAAUUUGGGCUGUAAUUUGGACUUGGUUUUUAUUUAGUUUGUUUUUGUUUUGGUUUUGGUAUUGGUCUGGGCCCCGGGCUGAACUUGGGUCCUACAAUAUAAUCAUCUUUAUUAAAAUAAAAAAAAUCAUACGGUGAUGAUAA